rnacentral:lncRNA from 1 species
UUGCUACCGCUGACACUUGGAACCGCCGCCUCCGCGCAGCGGCCAGACGCGGGGCCCGGAGCGGUCUACGCAGUCGGAGGAGGGCACCGACAUGGUCUUUCUCUCCACCGUGCGGCACCGGACCGCCACCCACGCAGGGGAGUCUGGGCCUGCGCCCCCCGCCCGCGCCCGCCGCAGGUGAGACUCCCGCUCCCCACGGAGUUCUGUUUGGGUUUCCGUGGCGUUUGUUCCCCGCAGGUUUGUUUGUUUUUCUUCAAAUUACAGAUGCAGGGAAAACCGCCUGACAUCAUGAGAGCGGGACAAACGCUCACUUUGAAGGAUUCCUGGGCAGGACUUCAAGUGAAAUCAUAUGCCUGAGAAGAACUUGAUACCGGUCUAGAGAAAAUAACCAGUUCUGAGUUUGCCAAACCGUGGAAUGUGCAAAAUGCUCGACUUUUUUGCAAGAGGCCAAGUGUCCCUUAAAAAGCUCCAUUAUGAAUAUGAGCCUGAAGACUGCAGGAGCAAGAAGCUUGUGCCGUUGUUGAGUGUGGGAAAAAAGUACACACAGUAUGUGAGUUGUUGCUAUUUAACAUUAUUUUAUUAAUAAUUUGUACCACUUUAGAGAGGAUACCUGCAACUGUGCAUGAAUUAUCAUCUGUGCAUGUGCUUAGCAAGUGUGUGCACAAAGAAGGAAAAUAAAUGUGUGUGUAUAAGAACAAAAAUUUACUUUCUUAUGAUUGAAGGCUAUCAAUCCAACGAAAUUAAAAGCAAGAUUUAAAAAAAAAAACAAAACUAUGUGCACAGUAAAGGAACCAUUUUUACUCAGUGGUUUAUAGAAUUCACCCAAGGCUAUUUUAUACAGCAUUUUUCCCUCCAGUGAAUGCAUUCUGGCUAAAGGGUAGAGUCCCCCAGUCCAGCCAUCACAUUAAAUUCUCACUUCUGAAGCAGAGGUAAUUCAUUUUAAGUGUCCUUUAAAUAAGAAUAGGUAGCAAAAAGAAUUAAAACAGGAAAAAAAAUAGUAGAGCAAAAGAAAUACAGGUGGCUUUAUUUCUAUUCUAAAAAAGAAUUAGCAUUGUUAUGUGCAAGGGGGAGGAGACUGGCAAUACAAAAUCAGUCUGCAACCUGAAAAUUGUAUUCUAAUAGUUAAUAUUUUCCAUGAAUUAUUCUCAUUCAAAGUAAAGCUAUUCGUCGCCUUUCAUUCAUUCAUUCAUUCAUUUCUCUGAAAAUCUAGGGGAAAAAUAUUACCUUCAGUUUAGCAACACAAAUAUGGUAUUUGCUUUUCUCCACAGGGUUCUCUUAUGAGAAAAGAGAACAAAAUACUAAAGAAAAAGAAAAAAGAAAAAAAGAAAAAAAUUAAAAAGGCAAACGAAAGGCUACCUUUUGUGAAACCUCUGGGUUUUAAAUCAUCAGAGAUAAGAUAGAGAUUACCUUCUCAGCAAUGACAGUCAGCUCCAUCCUGAUGUACGUCAAGAAAUCUGAAAUAUCAAAUAGUCAGACCAAGCUAGUGAACAAGGAGAUUCCUCCAUGAACAGUUUAGAAAAUGGAGGUGUAGGAUGAUACACACACAAGAGAGAAUUACCAUCUUGAUGUGCUCUCCCUCAUUCUUCUAGGGCACCCUUACAUUUCUACCCUAUACACACGCACUCCCUCUCUCUCUCCACUCUGCCAAUACACCCACACCCUACAAAUACAUGCACACAUAAUCACUUUCCCGGCUCAUGUAGUUAUUUGGUAAAGGAAUACCAAAAUCCAAAAAUUAAUUCCCCAAGCCUUCACUAACCUUUCAGUGUAAGUAAAUGCUACAGGGUCCUUAUCCGAAAAUACGGUCUCAAAUAUUCAGAAUA